GAUGAACGCUGGCGGCGUGCCUAAUACAUGCAAGUCGAGCGAACAGACGAGGAGCUUGCUCCUCUGACGUUAGCGGCGGACGGGUGAGUAACACGUGGAUAACCUACCUAUAAGACUGGGAUAACUUCGGGAAACCGGAGCUAAUACCGGAUAAUAUAUUGAACCGCAUGGUUCAAUAGUGAAAGACGGUUUUGCUGUCACUUAUAGAUGGAUCCGCGCCGCAUUAGCUAGUUGGUAAGGUAACGGCUUACCAAGGCGACGAUGCGUAGCCGACCUGAGAGGGUGAUCGGCCCCACUGGAACUGAGACACGGUCCAGACUCCUACGGGAGGCAGCAGUAGCGAAUCUUCCGCAAUGGGCGGAAGCCUGACGGAGCAGCGCCGCGUGAGUGAUGAGGGUCUUCGGAUCGUAAAACUCUGUUAUUAGGGAAGAACAAAUGUGUAAGUAACUAUGCACGUCUUGACGGUACCUAAUCAGAAAGCCACGGCUAACUACGUG
rnacentral:rRNA from 1 species